rnacentral:rRNA from 1 species
GACGAACGCUGGCGGCGUGCUUAACACAUGCAAGUCGAACGGUAAGGCCCUUUCGGGGGUACACGAGUGGCGAACGGGUGAGUAACACGUGGGUGAUCUGCCCUGCCUUUUGGGAUAAGCCUGGGAAAAUUGGUCUAAUACCGGAUAGGACUCAGCGAUGCAUGUCGAGUGGUUGAAAGCUUUUGCGGUGUGGGAUGGGCCCGCGGCCUAUAGGCUUGGUGGUGGGGUGAUGGCCUACCAAGGCGACGACGGGUAGCCGGCCUGAGAGGGUGUCCGGCCACACUGGGACUGAGAUACGGCCCAGACUCCUACGGGCGGCAGCAGUGGGGAAUAUUGCACAAUGGGCGCAAGCCUGAUGCAGCGACGCCGCGUGAGGGAUGACGGCCUUCGGGUUGUAAACCUCUUUCACUAGGGACGAAGCGUGAGUGACGGUACCUAGAGAAGAAGCACCGGCCAACUACGUGCCAGCCGCCGCCGUAAUAC